AGAUCAUCGGAACGUUUACCAGCUAACACACGGCCACAAUAAACAAAUUCAUCCCUAAUCUACGAUGGCAGGACUCGACUUUUUACCAGCUAACAUGUAGAAUUUUGAUAAGCUUUGCAUCCAUUAAUUUGUAAGAAAGUGCACUUUCUAAAAUCGAACCUCAAACUUAUUAGUAUAGAACAUUUUAAACUGUUGACCACUAAAGUAGAUCCUAUCAAGAAUAUCUAUACAGGAUGACAAAAUUUUUUUUUUUUUUUUUUAGUCAAAGGGGAAUUCAUUAGAUUACGAUUGAGGGAAAUACAAAGGGUUUACACCAAAAACAGACUUAGCAAGGAGGUCUGCUCGGUGAUUGUUUUCACGAUUGAUAAAAGAAAAACUAAAUUGCGAAAAGCUAGAAGAUAGAGAUAGGAUAUCGUGGAGUAUCCCAUGGAGCUCAAUUGGAUGAGCUCCUCUAUUGAUUGCUUUGAUUAGCAUCUGCGAAUCUGAAGCAAAAGAGACUUUUGUGAAUUCAAGGUCCAAAGCGUGUUGGAUUGCGAGGAGAAGGGCGUUUGCUUCCGCCAUCACGGGGGGUUCCAAUGUUCUUGGCCGUAGAUCUGCCCUGGAACUCUUUCUUCCCCAAGUGAUCGAUCAAUAACCAUCCAAAACCCGCUUCGUGUGACUCAGCUCGCCAGGAGGCAUCCGAGAAGACCCGGAUUGUCUCGAGAUCAUACUCAGAAGUCUCAAUCGGGACUCUUUGGGUGCGAGUCGGAGAUACUGUCUCUCGGCAAGCAGCCAUUCUUUGGCGUGAGCAAUAGACUGAGAGAUUACCUCCGGAGCCGUGGCCUGUCGAUUUUCAAAAAUCUUCUUAUUCCGGGAGGUCCAAAUUGUCCAUAGGAUCCAUGGGAAGAGAGGGCCAUCACUUAUACCCACUGGAGGCAGGCAAAUUAGGCGCUUAGAAGUCUCUAUUACCGUUCUUAGAGGAGUAGUUAGGUUUACAAUGGGAAGAUGAUGAAACGGGGCAAUCUCCCACACCUGUUUAGCAAAGUUGCAGAGGAAAAAUAGGUGAGUAAUAGUUUCCUCUAGGCCACAGUGGGGGCAAGUCGCAUAUGUGUUAAUGCCUCUAAAAGACAGGUUUUCUCCAAUUGGAAGUGCGUUUCUCAUCGCUUUCCAGAGGAAGAACUUGAUUUUUGGAGCACUUUUAAUCUGCCAGAUCUCUGCCAUCCAAUUAAAGUCUUGUUGGUUGCAGGAUUGAAGAGUUGUUUCUCUGUUUGACCUGUUUGCUUCAUGAUAUCCAGAUUUUGCAGAAUAAUCUCCCGUCUUUGAAGGUAUCCAGGUACGGGUUUCUGGACAGAGGAGGUGAGAGACCGACUAGUUUUGAGAAUGCUGUGCCGGAGGCCACAGGAUGACAAUUAAGAUUCAAUAAUUAGUUCCUCUCUCAGACCAUUUGAUAUUUACUGUAUAUGUAGAAAAGACAACUCCAUCCUUCACUAGAAUUAAACUUUUUAUUUUCUAAUU